rnacentral:rRNA from 1 species
UACGGAGGGGGCUAGCGUUGUUCGGAAUUACUGGGCGUAAAGCGCGCGUAGGCGGAUCUGCAAGUCGGGGGUGAAAUCCCGAGGCUCAACCUCGGAACUGCCUUCGAUACUGCAGGUCUCGAGUCCGGGAGAGGUGAGUGGAAUUCCGUAGUGUAGAGGUGAAAUUCGUAGAUAUUAGGAAGAACACCAGUGGCGAAGGCGGCUCACUGGCC